rnacentral:rRNA from 1 species
AACGCUAGCUACAGGCUUAACACAUGCAAGUCGAGGGGAAACGACAUCGAAAGCUUGCUUUUGGUGGGCGUCGACCGGCGCACGGGUGAGUAACGCGUAUCCAACCUGCCCACCACUUGGGGAUAACCUUGCGAAAGUAAGACUAAUACCCAAUGAUAUCCCACGAAGGCAUCCGAAUGGGAUUAAAGAUUUAUCGGUGAUGGAUGGGGAUGCGUCUGAUUAGCUCGUUGGCGGGGUAACGGCCCACCAAGGCAACGAUCAGUAGGGGUUCUGAGAGGAAGGUCCCCCACAUUGGAACUGAGACGCGGUCCAAACUCCUACGGGAGGCAGCAGUGAGGAAUAUUGGUCAAUGGGCGAGAGCCUGAACCAGCCAAGUAGCGUGCAGGAUGACGGCCCUAUGGGUUGUAAACUGCUUUUAUAAGGGAAUAAAGUGGGUCACGUGUGACUUUUUGCAUGUACCUUAUGAAUAAGGACCGGCUAAUUCCGUGCCAGCAGCCGCGGUAAUACGGAAGGUCCGGGCGUUAUCCGGAUUUAUUGGGUUUAAAGGGAGCGUAGGCCGGAGAUUAAGCGCGUUGUGAAAUGUAGUGGCUCAACCUCUGCACUGCAGCGCGAACUGGUCUUCUUGAGUACGCACAACGUGGGCGGAAUUCGUGGUGUAGCGGUGAAAUGCUUAGAUAUCACGAAGAACUCCGAUUG